UACGUAGGGGGGCUAGCGUUGUCCGGAAUCAUUGGGCGUAAAGAGCGUGUAGGCGGCCCGGUAAGUCCGCUGUGAAAGUCGGGGGCUCAACCCUCGAAUGCCGGUGGAUACUGUCGGGCUAGAGUGCGGAAGAGGCGAGUGGAAUUCCUGGUGUAGCGGUGAAAUGCGCAGAUAUCAGGAGGAACACCGAUUGCGAAGGCAGCUCGCUGGGACGUUACUGACGCUGGAGACGCGAAAGCGUGGGGAGCAAACAGG
rnacentral:rRNA from 1 species